UCAUCUAACACUCUCUCUCUCCCUUUCUAGCUCUCACAAAAACCCCACAGUAGAGAAAAAAAUCACACAAUGAAUCACACCAUGAAAUUUCUUCUGUGAAAUCCGCCAUCAUCAGAACCUUUUUCACUGAAAACCCACCACCAUUAAAAUAUUUUAUCUGAGAUUCUUAAAAAAAAUCUUAAAACCAACCUCCAAUAAACCUCAAAUAGAAAUCAGAUUUACUGUUGUUCAACCAAUUUCGUGUUUGAAAGAAACCCAAUUUCUUUUGUUGUGCAACCACUUCAGUUUCGAUCUUGAUUUUGUCUACAGUUUGGGUGCUGCUGAAAAGGUAUUCGUUUCGAAACCCCAGAUCUAUUUGUUCUUCAUAGAACAAGGAUUCACUAUUAAGGUUAUUCCCCAUCUCUACAACGAAAAGGGUGGACUUUUACUCAAUCUCUUCUUAGUUUUUCUUUUAUCGCUCUUUCAAUUCAACUGCGGGAUUUUAAUUUUAGGGAUUUUUGGUUUCAGGGUCACUAUGAAGAGAAGAGCUGAUGUGGACAGGGGCGGAAGCACAGCAAGACUUCCCCUGCAUUCUCGAAGUGUUUAGUCUUUGCCAAUUCUGUGUAAAUUAGGAUCCUGCACUUUAGUUGUUUGUGGAAAUGCCCACGAGAGGAGAACUUGCAUAAUUGUAUUGCCUGCCAGGGUGGGGGUUCUUGCGCGAUCAAUAAUUGGUAGAGAAUACAAGGAAUACUUUAGUGGAAAUCAUAAUACUGGUAUCCAUCAAAGAAGUGCAUUAAGGAAUCGCUGCCCCAUAUUUGUUGGAAACAGCAGUCGUCGUUAAAGAGAAUAAGAGUGCCGAAAAAGAACAUGAUGUACAGUUUUGCUAUUAGGACUUUCCGAUGUUCUUUUAAGAGGUAAUCUUUUCUGUUUGCUGGUGCGCAAUAUUUUUUUCCAACCCCCUCUAGUCUUGAAUCCUGGUUCCCCCACUUGCAGUGGAUGCUUGGGUGGUGGUUGUGAGUGGUGAAGACAGUUGCAGUAUAUGAAAAUCUAGAGUGGUUGAAAUUGUACAGCCUUAUUUUUUCAUGUAUUGCAACGGUAGUACUUGUUAGAUGGUAUUCGUGAUGUUUCUUGGACGUGGGAUAUUGUGUUGUAUCGGUUUGAUAUAUAUAGAUUAAUGAGUUUUUGAUUGAUCGUCAGGGAGAAGCUAAUGAUGGCUAAAGAAUACCUGUGCAAAGGCUAAGAAACUUACUGUUGUUUACUUUUAUCUAGUUUACUUUUAUCAUAUGUGCUACAUUGAUCUUCUGUUUGUCAUGUGUUGUAAUCUUGUUUCACCUCAUCAAUUAGUGUUGUUGUAAUUUGAAUCAUUUGUCCUACUUAAUGCUUUAACAACAAAACUUCUUGUAUUUCUAACAAGGCAUGCAAUUAUCAAGUAUUUACCCCCUGAGUUUUCCUAUUGUGCGUGCAGUUAGUGAAUCAAAACCUUCAUACCCAUCCUCCAAAUCAGAGUCGGACUUGUUGCUUGGGACAAGUUAAGAGGCAGAAAUAAUAUUUUCUAACUCUGAUCCAUGUCUUUUUGCUUUCUUUUGUGAUGUAAAUUACCUGUUGACACAUUGUUCCCUAUACUGUGUUAGUUUCUACACAUUUCUUUCAUGUCGUUGCUGAUAUGCUUGUUGGUUUGAAGGUCAAUGACUCGGUUGUGAUAUAGGUAGAGAAAGGAAGACAUAAUAUUGAUGAUGAUGCCAAGCCGACAUGUCUUGUUCAAGUCUGUGUAGCAUCUAUAUGCUUGACUAUGUUUUGUGAUAUAGUAUAACUAAUGUGCAUUACCUUGUCCUGAAUUUUCGUGCAUUACUACAUUAAAUUGAGCCGAUUUUGCUGAAUUUUCUUUUGGUCAAGUGGAAAUAUGAAGUACAGAAACUUGGUUUUUGGUUAGACCUCAUAUUACCUUGUAGUACGCCUUGAGAUGCUUCUCUUUUAGCUUAUGCACCCUUAACACUGUACAUCUACAUGUCUUGCAUAUAUAAAAUAAAAGAUUCGACUAUGUUCAUUUGGAAUUGAAGAUUUUCCAAUUUUAAGACUGAAUUAAUCUUUUUAUCUUUUUGGUUUUAAUUUAAGCUUCAUUUCCGAGAUCUCCCAACGGUGAAGGAGGAUCUUAUGACGUCAAUGGAAAAGAGUUACGCCCAUCCUUGGGUUGGACCUCAGAGAUGGGUUGGACUGCACCCAUAUCCAAGGGGAUUCAUGCCUUGAGGGCUCAACUGGAAGCAGCAAAAUAUGAUGUGAUUAAGUAUUGCACUGGACUGAAUACGAUGAUAGAUGUGUGAAUAUUUUCUCAGCUGAAGGGAGACUGUUUCAAGUUUAAGCUAUUAAGGUAGAGCGCUGGGGAAGGCCUGUGUAUGCAAAUAUUCAGUAGUUCAUUCAGUUCCAGCCCACAGUUGAUGUUGCUGCUCUUCCCGAUGAUCUUUAUGGAUGCCGUCACUCUAUUACCGAUGGUCUCAUGAUCGACGAGCACUGAUGUCAUGAUUGUAGGUAAGAUCGCUGUUGUUGCUGGAUACAGAGAUGUUGGAAAGGGUUGUGCUUCUGCAGUUCUGCUCUCAAGCUGGUGCCCAGGUGAUGAUCACUAAAAUUGAUGUUGAAAUUUUUAGGACUUGCAACACUUCUUUGUAAGAAAGCUUGAACUUAUAAAUUAAGAGUUGAAUCCUUUUGUAUGAUUUUGAAUUAAAUUUAUGAGUACAAUUUAAUGUAAUGGAAUUGUCAUCUUGUAUGGAUGAAUAAGGUUAUAGAUUUGUCAUUUUAAUUUUA